ACCCAGGCUGGAGUGCAGUGGAACCAUCAUAGCUCACUGCAGCCUUGAACUCCUGGACUCAAGCAAUCCUCCCCCCGGGUAUCCCAAAGGGCUGGGACUACAAAUUGGGUUUGCGCCUCUAUGACCCCAGGCUUGGCUCUGAUCCUCACUCCGGAUCUUGCUCCUGAUCUCUGGAGUGGUAGAAAUAAUCCAGCCCACACGUUUUAACUUGAAUGGAUUUCUGUAAGUGACUGCAUCUCUUUGAUCUGAGGCUCCUGUCUGCAAGGUAGGUAUAGUCAUAAUAAUUUCACCCAUUGGCCAGGGCUGAUGUUGGAUUAGGUCACCUCCAACACCACCUUGGACUCCCUCACUAGGUGUUGUGCUGGUGUGUGAACAUUAUAACCAAAGACGUGGCAUCCCCCGUCUAUGGGCUCCCCUCCUGGUCUCCACCCCAGCUCCGUUUCCUGUUCACCAUUUUUGGCUCUGAUCUAUGACCUCUGCUAGCAAAGCAGCACAUUUCUAAUUUGGCAGGGGCUGCUGUUCGUGUCCUUUUCUCUGCCCAGGACAAGAACGAUGUAAUUGGAACCACCAAUGGCAGACACAGAAAGAAAACAGGAUUGACAAGCUGGCACCAUGUGAGCCCAUGAGAGCCAAACCAUGGCAAGGGGAUUGCAGAGAGUCAGAUUCUCCACUGAGCCCUGCCCCGGCAGGAAGGCAAGCUCCAGUCAAGGGUGGAACAAGGUGACGCCCACGUUCAGCCAUAGGAAGCUCGCACAUCUCCUGCCACCAGCCACGACAGCCCCCGUCCUGCACAGGCAGGCCCGAAUCUUGGGAAACACAAUGGCUGCCGCCAUCACAGUUAUAGAUAUUCACAGGUCUCAGAGAAGCCCAAAUGCAAUCCUAGCUGACACGAUAACGGAUAUUUAGCAGGGAGUGGAGAGCCCAGGGAAGAAUACUGUGAUGCUGAUGGGGAAUAUUGAUGUUUGCAGAUAGUGGCACGUGGUGACACCUCCUCACUGUGUGAUCCAGGGGCCUUCCCUGAUGUGGUCCUGGAUGUUUCUGUACUGAUGGCCUCACUCCCCUGGCUGCUUGGCUCUGUACUGGGAUUUUCAUCUCAGGAUGUGUGAAACCAGCCUGAAGACAGUUCUUGUAAAAAUGUCCUUGAAACCAUGAAAUUGGCGCAAGACCGAUCAGAACUGAGAUAGGAAAGUCACUCAAAGAACUCGAAAGCCUACCAGGCCAGAAAGGGUGGUCUACGACUUAAUUGGUUGUAUCAACCCAUGUAAGCAAGGACUAUGUCCUUCAGAAAUGGAUGAACGAGAAUGGAAAGCUGGAGGAAGGAGAGACAGUCACACAUGGGCAGUGCUCAUCAGGAAGGGCUCUGCUUGGCAACAGUGCGUCUGAUCCACCUGUCAGGUAUAUCCUUAUUUUGAAGGUGAGACUUCCUGGGAUUUUGGAGACUGAUGCUAAACUCUGAGCUCCAAGAAAGCAGGAACAAUGUAUCUAACUUGUUCACAGGGCCUCAUGCAAUGUAGGUAUUUGAUGAGUGUUUGUGGAAUGAACUCAUUGACUCUUUUAACAUUCAAAUCUUUCAUAUAUGCAUAUAAAUACAGAAGUUAUGUAUUGUA
rnacentral:lncRNA from 1 species